rnacentral:rRNA from 1 species
GAUGAACGCUGGCGGCGUGCUUAACACAUGCAAGUCGAACGGAAAGGCCCUGCUUUUGUGGGGUGCUCGAGUGGCGAACGGGUGCGUAACACGUGAGUAACCUGCCCUUGACUUUGGGAUAACUUCAGGUAACUGGGGCUAAUACCGGAUAGGAGCUCCUGCUGCAUGGUGGGGGUUGGAAAGUUUCGGCGGUUGGGGAUGGACUCGCGGCUUAUCAGCUUGUUGGUGGGGUAGUGGCUUACCAAGGCUUUGACGGGUAGCCGGCCUGAGAGGGUGACCGGCCACAUUGGGACUGCGAUACGGCCCAGACUCCUACGGGAGGCAGCAGUGGGGAGUAUUGCACAAUGGGCGGAAGCCUGAGGCAGCAACGCCGCGUGCGGGAUGACGGCCUUCGGGUUGUAAACCGCUUUCGCCUGUGACGAAGCGUGAGUGACGGUAAUGGGUAAAGAAGCACCGGCUAACUACGUG